rnacentral:rRNA from 1 species
GUGGGUAACCUGCCCAUCAGAAGGGGAUAACACUUGGAAACAGGUGCUAAUACCGUAUAACAAUCAAAACCGCAUGGUUUUGAUUUGAAAGGCGCUUUCGGGUGUCGCUGAUGGAUGGACCCGCGGUGCAUUAGCUAGUUGGUGAGGUAACGGCUCACCAAGGCCACGAUGCAUAGCCGACCUGAGAGGGUGAUCGGCCACAUUGGGACUGAGACACGGCCCAAACUCCUACGGGAGGCAGCAGUAGGGAAUCUUCGGCAAUGGACGAAAGUCUGACCGAGCAACGCCGCGUGAGUGAAGAAGGUUUUCGGAUCGUAAAACUCUGUUGUUAGAGAAGAACAAGGAUGAGAGUAACUGUUCAUCCCUUGACGGUAUCUAACCAGAAAGCCACGGCUAACUACGUGCCAGCAGCCGCGGUAAUACGUAGGUGGCAAGCGUUGUCCGGAUUUAUUGGGCGUAAAGCGAGCGCAGGCGGUUUCUUAAGUCUGAUGUGAAAGCCCCCGGCUCAACCGGGGAGGGUCAUUGGAAACUGGGAGACUUGAGUGCAGAAGAGGAGAGUGGAAUUCCAUGUGUAGCGGUGAAAUGCGUAGAUAUAUGGAGGAACACCAGUGGCGAAGGCGGCUCUCUGGUCUGUAACUGACGCUGAGGCUCGAAAGCGUGGGGAGCAAACAGGAUUAGAUACCCUGGUAGUCCACGCCGUAAACGAUGAGUGCUAAGUGUUGGAGGGUUUCCGCCCUUCAGUGCUGCAGCUAACGCAUUAAGCACUCCGCCUGGGGAGUACGACCGCAAGGUUGAAACUCAAAGGAAUUGACGGGGGCCCGCACAAGCGGUGGAGCAUGUGGUUUAAUUCGAAGCAACGCGAAGAACCUUACCAGGUCUUGACAUCCUUUGACCACUCUAGAGAUAGAGCUUCCCCUUCGGGGGCAAAGUGACAGGUGGUGCAUGGUUGUCGUCAGCUCGUGUCGUGAGAUGUUGGGUUAAGUCCCGCAACGAGCGCAACCCUUAUUGUUAGUUGCCAUCAUUCAGUUGGGCACUCUAGCAAGACUGCCGGUGACAAACCGGAGGAAGGUGGGGAUGACGUCAAAUCAUCAUGCCCCUUAUGACCUGGGCUACACACGUGCU